GGAUAUAGCUCAGUUGGUAGAGUGCCUGCUUUGCAUGCACAAGGCUACCUGGGAUUGAUCCCCAGCACCA
rnacentral:tRNA from 1 species